AAAGUCGUAACAAGGUUUCCGUAGGUGAACCUGCGGAAGGAUCAUUAAAAGAAUCUGCCUCACCACAGAUAUCUUAUCACGUGUGAACUGUCUAGCUUGCCACCCGAGAUUGACACCUCAGAGAUCUCGGUCUUUGGGGGGUCUGUCUUGGGGGUCAGCUUAUGCUACUGAUUGUGCCCCGAGAAUCUUUAAAAGACUAUAAAACUUUUAGCAAUGGAUCUCUAGGCUCCU
rnacentral:misc_RNA from 1 species